rnacentral:rRNA from 1 species
UACGAAGGGGGCUAGCGUUGUUCGGAAUUACUGGGCGUAAAGCGCGCGUAGGCGGUUUUCCAAGUCGGGCGUGAAAGCCCCGGGCUCAACCCGGGAAAUGCGCUCGAAACUUGAAGACUGGAGGCCGGAAGAGGGUAGUGGAAUUCCCAGUGUAGAGGUGAAAUUCGUAGAUAUUGGGAAGAACACCAGUGGUGAAGGCGGCUACCUGGUCCGGAUCUGACGCUGAGACGCGAAAGCGUGGGGAGCAAACAGG